rnacentral:piRNA from 1 species
UGAUGAUGUGUAUGGUGGGGCUCGUGAUU